GAUGAACGCUGGCGGCGUGCCUAAUACAUGCAAGUCGAGCGAACGGACGAGAAGCUUGCUUCUCUGAUGUUAGCGGCGGACGGGUGAGUAACACGUGGAUAACCUACCUAUAAGACUGGGAUAACUUCGGGAAACCGGAGCUAAUACCGGAUAAUAUAUUGAACCGCAUGGUUCAAUAGUGAAAGACGGUUUUGCUGUCACUUAUAGAUGGAUCCGCGCUGCAUUAGCUAGUUGGUAAGGUAACGGCUUACCAAGGCAACGAUGCAUAGCCGACCUGAGAGGGUGAUCGGCCACACUGGAACUGAGACACGGUCCAGACUCCUACGGGAGGCAGCAGUAGGGAAUCUUCCGCAAUGGGCGAAAGCCUGACGGAGCAACGCCGCGUGAGUGAUGAAGGUCUUCGGAUCGUAAAACUCUGUUAUUAGGGAAGAACAAAUGUGUAAGUAACUAUGCACGUCUUGACGGUACCUAAUCAGAAAGCCACGGCUAACUACGUG
rnacentral:rRNA from 1 species